AUCAGUCAGACGCAAUCGCACCAGCUUAUCACUCUGCAACUGCCAACGAACACAGAUCGCGAGACCCACCGCUUCACAAUCACCGACGAACAACUCCAUCGCCCGUCACCUCCCGCGACGGUUCCGCCACCUGCAUCCAACUCGCCGGCUACCCCGCUCGACACCCAUCGCGGCUGGAAUGAAGAACAAGACGAAGAGGAGAAGAACGUGUCACUCAUGCAAGAAGUUUUUUGUUUUGUUUUUUUUUCUUCUUUUGUUCAAUAUGUAAUACCCUGUAAUACAUUUUUGUUUUUCUGGUUUUUAUUAUUACUAUUGUUGCCACGUGUCACGUUUAUAAUGGCUAGACUUUAA